CCUGCGGAAGGAUCAUUGUCGAGACCGAAAUACAUCGAGCGAUUUGGAGAACCCGUCAAAAUAAGCGGUGGCUAUUGUUGCCGUGAUAAAAUCCAUCCCAAUCGUUGCCUCAUCCCCCUGGGGGCGGGGAUGCGAUGAAGGUUGGAUGAACACUCAAACCGGCGCAGCGUCGCGCCAAGGUAGUAAUGAAACGCGAGCCCUUAAAUGGGUCUUGUGGCAUGGGGUGCUAUUGCACGCCAUAUGGUUUGACACGACUCUCGGCAAUGGAUAUCUCGGCUCUCGCAUCGAUGAAGAGCGCAGCGAAAUGCGAUACGUGGUGCGAAUUGCAGAAUCCCGCGAACCAUCGAGUCUUUGAACGCAAGUUGCGCCCGAGGCCAACCGGCCAAGGGCACGUCUGCCUGGGCGUCAAGCGUUACGUCACUCCGUGCCAACUCCAUUCCUUCGAUGGAUGGGCUGGCGAAGGCUCGGAUGUGUAGAGUGGCUCGUCGUGCCCGUCGGUGCGGCGGGCUGAAGAGCGGGUCAUCAUCUCGUUGGCUGCGAACAAUAAGGGGUGGAUUAAAGCGAGACCUAUGUUAUUGUGUCGUGUAUGCCUGAGAGAAGACUAUACAUUAUCAGAUGAUCCCAAAUCAUGCGUCGAUCCAUGAAUGGCGCUUGGAAUGCGACCCCAGGA
rnacentral:rRNA from 1 species